AUUGAACGCUGGCGGCAGGCCUAACACAUGCAAGUCGAGCGAGCGGCGGACGGGUGUGUAAUGUAUGGGGACUGCCCGAUAGAGGGGGAUAACUACUGGAAACGGUAGCUAAUACCGCAUACUAUCGGAUAACCGAUAUGGGAUUAGCUAGUAGGUGAGGUAAUGGCGCACCUAGGCGACGAACCCUAGCUGGUCUGAGAGGAUGAUCAGCCACACUGGGACGGAGACACGGCCCAGACUCUUACGGAGGCAGCAGUGGGGAAUAUUGGACAAUGGGCGCAAGCCUGAUGCAGCCAUGCCGCGUGUAUGAAGAAGGCCUUAGGGUUGUAAAGUACUUUCAGUCGGGAGGCGUUACCGACAGAAGAAGCACCGGCUAACUCCGUGCCAGCAGCCGCGGUAAUAC
rnacentral:rRNA from 1 species